UACGUAGGGACCGAGCGUUGUCCGGAAUCAUUGGGCGUAAAGAGCGUGUAGGCGGCUUGUUAAGUCUUGCGUGAAAUCUCGGGGCUCAACCUCGAGACGUCGGUUGAAACCAUCUGGCUAGAGUCCGGAAGAGGAGAGUGGAAUUCCCGGUGUAGCGGUGAAAUGCGCAGAUAUCGGGAAGAACACCCGUGGCGAAGGCGGCUCUCUGGGACGGUACUGACGCUGAGACGCGAAAGCGUGGGGAGCGAACAGG
rnacentral:rRNA from 1 species